CACAGGGCUGGAUGUUUUCUAAUUUCUUUUGCUUUUUCAAUUAAGAGAACAGUGGUUUAAUGUGAAAGUCAUCCGUGACAUCUUAGAAUAGAAGGACAGUGUGUCGUCUAGUUUAAUUAAGCUAUUAAUUCUGCUAACAACUGUCCGGAAGCCAUCAGUUCUACUCAGUCUUACUGUUAAUUCACUGCACUUGCUGUUUCGUACAUUAUUCCUGUUUAACAUACACAGUAUCCUGAAGUUUGUGAUAUGAUGUAUAUGGCAAAAGAUCUUGUGAACGUCAUUCAUCAUUCAUUCUGAGGUUCCCGCUGGCUUUAGGAUCAGAACUGGCUCCAUUUCUCCAGUAGCUUCAGAGUUAACUUGACUUUAGUCACAGAAUUCUUUUGUUGCUGUUAUUUGAUGUAGAAUAUCUAGAGUUCAUCUAGAACUGUUCAUUUGUUUUGACAGUUUUAAUAAUAUUGUUUGUGCUGUACAUAAUCAUAAUUCAAAAGUAAUAAAAAAGUUGUCAGCGGGCAAGGUCAAAAACUUAAUGAACCACAGAAAUGGUUUGUUGAGUUUUACCUCAAGGAAAUCUUUUACAACAUGUUUAUACAGUUCAUUAUGUGCAGUUCUGAUGUUGGCCUUACUGUCCAUUUCCCAUAUUUAUUUUGUUGUUGUUUUUUUAAGUUUUACUUAAGGACACGUUAAAUUGAUCAAGGUUGUUUUUUUUUGUUUGUUUGUUUUUUUUUUGAUCAAAUAAAAGCAGCCUUAGCAAGCAUAAGAAACUUUUUUUUUUUUUCAAAAACCUUUUUUUUUUAAAUGUCCAAACUAUUGAUUGGUGUAUAUACACAUUGCAUAUAAAUACGUAAUCUUCAUAUGUAUGUAUAUACAAGCUUCUAUCCAACUAUGUUCAUAAGCAUAACAGAUCAGACCAGCCGAAAACAACUAAAUUAAUGCAAAAAGGUGCCUAAUAGGAUCAUUAACCUCUGUCGCUGUAUGUUUUGGCCAUUGCACGGAUGUCUGCGUGUGUGUUUUAGUGUGUGCGCACGCGUGUGUAUGUGUGCCAGGCUGGUACGUGGCAGAUUGCAGGAACAGGCUGACUGUUAGCGGCUAGCUCAGCAGUGCCGAGCUCGAUCUGCCAUCUUCCCGUGGAUUUACAGCUGACGCUGUGGUACUUCAAUUAGCUCUAUAGCACACAGAUGUUGCUUAAAUGUGCCUGCUAAUGAUACUGCAAUAAGCGUGAGAUUCAUGCCAUAUUCACAGGCACGUAAAUUUCUCAAGUGGCACAAUUAAAGGGGGAAUACAGGAUGGGCGGCAGAGAGGUGGCAGACCCUCCAGUUGGAAAACUGCAGGUCUGAUCUGUAAUGGGUCACCAUGCCAUUCCGCUUUAAUGCUUUAUCUCACUCAGACUAGGUUUUGUUUUUGCUAAAAGAAAGGAAAAUGGCAUUUUCUGGAGGCUUUGUUGUCUGAAUAUCUUCUUGGGGGAAUACAGGAUGGGCGGCAGAGAGGUGGCAGACCCUCCAGUUGGAAAACUGCAGGUCUGAUCUGUAAUGGGUCACCAUGCCAUUCCGCUUUAAUGCUUUAUCUCACUCAGACUAGGUUUUGUUUUUGCUAAAGAAAGGAAAAUGGCAUUUUCUGGAGGCUUUGUUGUCUGAAUAUCUUCUUGGUAUCAAUGUUGCUGAGCGGGCGUAGAAUAUUUUACUGCUUUUUUAACAGUUUCAGUGUAACAGAAGAAACACAACAUGAGGAUGAUUAAAUUAUAAAUUUUCCAAGUUCAUUAAUGUGUUUGUUAUUUAUUUCUUCAUUUAUUUUUUAUUAAUAUGCAUAUAUUUAAUCAGUUUCUCAUGUCUAAAUCUCUUUUUCUAUACACACAGACAUUUACUUAGUUAGUUUAUUUAUAUAGUCUAUGCUAUAUUUACACUACACCAAUUUAGCUACAUUUAUUGGAGAAAAAAAAUUAAUAAAAUAAAAAAAUUAAUAAUAUAUAUAUGUGUGUGUGUGUCAAAAUUAUAGAUUUUUCUUUUAUGCCAGUAAAGAUCAUGUUCCAUUAAGGUAUUUUCUACAUUUCCUACCAUAAAUAUAUCACUUGACUUUUGAUUAGUAAUAUGCAUUGCUAAGGACUUCAUUCGGACAACAUUUGCGAUUGUCUAAAUAUUUAGAUUUUUUCGAACCCUCAGAUUCCUGAUUUUCAAAUAGCUGUUAUCUUGACCAAAUAUUGUCCUAUAUUAACAAACUAUACAUCAAUAGAAAGCUUAUUUAUGCUCAUUUCAGCAUUCAGAUGAUGUAUAAAUCUUAAUUUCGAAAAAUUGACCCUUAUGACCAGGGUCACAUAUAGUAUAAAUAAUUAAUUUUCAUGAUGAUGGUGGGGGUUGUUUAUUUAUUAUAUUUUUAAUAAAUAUUAUUAUUAUAAUAAAUAAAUAAUUAUAAUAAAAGUAAAUAAUAUUUAUUAUUAUUAUUAUUAUUAUUAGUAGUAGUAGUAGUAGUAGUAGUAGUAGUAGUAUUAUUAUUAUUAUUAUUAUUAUUAUUAUUAUACAUCUUUAUUCGUUAUACAUUACAUUUCUGUACUAUAUACACGCAGUAAAAUGCAUGUGUAAAAUACACAGUAUGUUACUGUAAAAAUAACAAU
rnacentral:lncRNA from 1 species